rnacentral:snRNA from 1 species
UUGCUUCUGCAGCACAUAUGCUAAGUUUGGGAAAAUACAGAGGCUAGUUAGCAUGGACCCUCAAGAUGACACACGAUUUGUAAAGCAUUCCAUAUUUUG